UACGUAGGGGGCUAGCGUUGUCCGGAAUCAUUGGGCGUAAAGCGCGUGUAGGCGGUCCGGUAAGUCCGCUGUGAAAGUCGGGGGCUCAACCCUCGGAUGCCGGUGGAGUACUGUCGGCUGAGUACGGAAGAGGAGUGUGGAAUCCUGGUGUAGCGGUGAAAUGCGCAGAUAUCAGGAGGAACACCAAUAAGCGAAGGCAGCUCGCUGGGACGUUACUGACACUGAGGCGCGAAAGCGUGGGGAGCGAACAGG
rnacentral:rRNA from 1 species